GCGGCCUGCGCUCGUUGCGGCAACUAUUCCUGUGCGCCGUCCACACCCACCUGACGACUGCUCGCGACAUAUUGUUUGCC
rnacentral:sRNA from 1 species